GUGGGGAAUAUUGGGCAAUGGGGGAAACCCUGACCCAGCAACGCCGCGUGAAGGAAGAAGGUUUUCGGAUCGUAAACUUCUAUCCUUGGUGAAGAUAAUGACGGUAGCCAAGAAGGAAGCCCCGGCUAACUACGUGCCAGCAGCCGCGGUAAUACGUAGGGGGCAAGCGUUGUCCGGAAUGAUUGGGCGUAAAGGGCGCGUAGGCGGCCUGGUAAGUCUGGAGUGAAAGUCCUGCUUUUAAGGUGGGAAUUGCUUUGGAUACUGUCGGGCUUGAGUGCAGGAGAGGUAAGCGGAAUUCCCGGUGUAGCGGUGAAAUGCGUAGAGAUCGGGAGGAACACCAGUGGCGAAGGCGGCUUACUGGACUGUAACUGACGCUGAGGCGCGAAAGUGUGGGGAGCAAACAGGAUUAGAAACCCCGGUAGUCC
rnacentral:rRNA from 1 species